AGAGUUUGAUCAUGGCUCAGAAUGAACGCUGGCGGCGCGCCUAAUACAUGCAAGUCGAGCGAGAAGACGUAGCAAUACGUUUGUAAAGCGGCGAACGGGUGAGGAAUACAUGGGUAACCUACCCUCGAGUGGGGAAUAACUAGCCGAAAGGUUAGCUAAUACCGCGUACGCUCCUUGGACUUCGGUUCAGGGAGGAAAGCGAUACCGUGGGUAUCGCGCUCUUGGUUGGGCUCAUGUCCUAUCAGCUUGUUGGUGAGGUAACGGCUCACCAAGGCUUCGACGGGUAGCUGGUCUGAGAGGACGAUCAGCCACACUGGCACUGCGACACGGGCCAGACUCCUACGGGAGGCAGCAGUAAGGAAUAUUGCGCAAUGGGCGAAAGCCUGACGCAGCGACGCCGCGUGGGGGAUGAAGGUCUUCGGAUUGUAAACCCCUUUCGGGAGGGAAGAUGGAACGAGCAAUCGUUCGGACGGUACCUCCAGAAGCAGCCACGGCUAACUUCGUGCCAGCAGCCGCGGUAAUACGAAGGUGGCAAGCGUUAUUCGGAUUUACUGGGCGUACAGGGAGCGUAGGCGGUUCGGUAAGCCCUCUGUGAAAUCUCCAGGCUUAACCUGGAACAGUCGGAGGGGACUGCUGGGCUAGAGGACGGGAGAGGAGCGCGGAAUUCCCGGUGUAGCGGUGAAAUGCGUAGAGAUCGGGAGGAAGGCCGGUGGCGAAGGCGGCGCUCUGGAACGUUUCUGACGCUGAGGCUCGAAAGCGUGGGGAGCAAACAGGAUUAGAUACCCUGGUAGUCCACGCCGUAAACGAUGAGUGCUAGGCGUUGGGGGUAU
rnacentral:rRNA from 1 species